rnacentral:lncRNA from 1 species
UUCAUGGCUUCUUGGGUCAGGAUGUGCAGGAAAUGCUGAAUAUACCACAAGGAGGAGAUUUGCCUGGGCUCCUUGUGUCCAUGCUUCCAGCCAACAUUCCCGGAUUCCCGUGGAUCACGCUCCAACCCAGGCCCGAAUACAAAUCGUGCUGCCAUGUUCUUCAAGAGGUGUCAGCAUUCAUGAAAACUGAAUAUGAAGUUUCAGGGACUUAGAGCGAAGCCUGGCUUCAGAACCGGUCACGU